AUUGAACGCUGGCGGCAGACCUAACACAUGCAAGUCGAACGAGUGGCGAACGGGUGAGUAAUGUCUGGGAAACUGCCUGAUGGAGGGGGAUAAAUACUGGAAACGGUAGCUAAUACCGCAUACCCUCAGAUGUGCCCAGAUGUGAUUCGAUAGUUGGUGGGGUAACGGCUCACAAAGGCGACAAUCCCUAGCUAGGCUGAGAGGAUUACCAGCCACACGGGAACGGAGACACGGUCCAUGCCCCUACGGGAGGCAGCAGUGGGGAAUAUUGCACAAUGGCCGCAAGCCUGAUGCAGCCAUGCCGCGUGUAUGAAGAAGGCCUUCGGGUUGUAAAGUACUUUCAGCGGUGAGGCGUGACCCGCAGAAGAAGCACCGGCUAACGCCGUGCCAGCAGCCGCGGUAAUUC
rnacentral:rRNA from 1 species